rnacentral:rRNA from 1 species
AAAAUUUGAUUUAAAACAUAUUAUUAUAUCUUCUGCCUGGCAACUACGAACACUAGUUUAAAAACCAAGGGACUUGGCGGUGCUUAAAAUCCACCUAGAGGAGCCUGUUCUAGAACCGAAAAUCCCCGUUAAACCUCACCCCCUCUUGUUAAACCCGUCUAUAUACCACCGUCGUAAGCUCGCCCUCUAAGGGACCAGUAGCAAGCAAAACCGGCACAGCCCCAAACGUCAGGUCGAGGUGUAGCGCAUGAGGGGGGAAGAAAUGGGCUACAUUCCCUAGUUUUUAGCGAAUACGAAUGGCAUGUUGAAAUAUUUGCCUGAAGGAGGAUUUAGCAGUAAGCAGGAAAUAGAGCGUCCU